AUACGUAGGGUGCGAGCGUUGUCCGGAAUUACUGGGCGUAAAGAGCUCGUAGGUGGUUUGUCGCGUCGUCUGUGAAAUUCCGGGGCUUAACUCCGGGCGUGCAGGCGAUACGGGCAUAACUUGAGUACUGUAGGGGAGACUGGACUUCCUGGUGUAGCGGUGAAAUGCGCAGAUACCAGGAGGAACACCGGGGGCGAAGACGGGUCUCUGGGCAGUAACUAACGCGGAGGAGCGAAAGCAUGGGUAGCGAACAGGAUUAGAUACCCUGGUAGUCCAUGCCGUAAACGGUGGGCGCUAGGUGUAGGGGUCUUCCACGACUUCUGUGCCGUAGCUAACGCAUUAAGCGCCCCGCCUGGGGAGUACGGCCGCAAGGCUAAAACUCAAAGGAAUUGACGGGG
rnacentral:rRNA from 1 species